GAUUCCUUUCCCCUCAACUGUCAGGAAGGACAGCGCUGAGGCCAUGCUGAGGUGGACAGAGUGGUGCUCCCCAUGCUGCCAGCUCUGCUGCAGUGCGUGUGGCUAAUGCUGAGUACCAGGCAUUGUGUUUUGGUGGAGCUGGGCCAGAAAGGAAGAAAAAACCCCAUAAAAUCAUGGAAUCAUUAAAGUUGUAAAAGGCCUCUAAGAUCUAGUCCAGCUAUUAACCCAGCGCUGCCAAGCCCAUCACUAACCGAUGUCCCCAGCUGCCACAUCCAUGCACUUUUUGAACACUGAUAUGAGGCUCAAGGAACCCCUUGGCCAAGUUACUUCACUCCUGCCUCAGUUUCCUCUCUGCGUGAACUCUCACCGGGUGCCUUCCAGGGGCUGGAGAGCUCCGAACCUGCCACUGCCCAGAGCUGGAAGCACUGCCUGGGGAUGAGCCAUGCUGGGGUGAUGAGCCUGGAGCACAGAGCAAACCCUGUGUCCCUGCACACCCCUUCUGGGAAGGAGGGCAGACUGAGGGGAGCCCUGGUGUUUCCAGAGGAAGUUUUCCCUGCACAGAUCCAGCAAGGCUGCGGCGCUAGCGGUGCUCUGCAUGUUCAUGCAUCUGUGGUGUAAAUUGCCUGCCAGACACCCAGGCAUGGGGCACAGAAAGGCUCUGGAGAGCAGACUGGGAACAGGAAAAUGGAGCCCUGUUUUAACCCUGCUGCCUUUUGCAGAGGCUCCGUUCCGAUGGGAACACCAGCUCCCCUGUGCCCGGAGCAGUGAGUGGGUAACAGCACCCCUUGAGGAGGGGAGGAGGAAGCUGCCAGCUACUCGCCAGGCUACUCACCCCAUGGGAGCAAACUGUUGUGGGUUCUGCUGGGAAAGAAGCACUAAUGGAGCUCCCCCAGAGUCCCAGCACAAAUUUGGUUCCUGGUCUGGAGAGACCAGUGACGUGAUGGCCACUGCCCAUCACCAGGUGCUCCAGAGGAAGCUGUGGGCACCCCAUGUUACUUGAUGGGGAAAAUCUGCAUGCGUCUUUAGGUUUCCUCUGGAGCCAUGAGCAGCACAGGAAUCAGUCACCAGUGGACAAGCACAAACACAGCUGCAAAUGACAACCCUGCUUCUGGGGAAAGCAGAUGGAGAAUGGAGAACACAACUUCAUCUUGAGGGCUUUUCCUUAGGAGAAGCCACUCCAGUGCUUGUGCUCUUGAACUUUUGAGGUGAUUGAAAAUUGCAUUCUUAGAAAUGAGAAGAGGAAUUUAAAAAGUCCGAAGACUACUCAGUUCAAAAUAACUCCUGUUUUUGAGAGCCUGGACUUUGACUUGGGAACCCUUCAAAGCACCACGAGCCAUGUCGUCUGGCUGGAAAAGUGGAUGGUUUAGCCAGGUCAGGCUAUAUCAAACAAGUUCUUGAGCAUGUCAGAGCAACCACACCUCGCAGAACUUGCCUGGCUCUUCAGAUGCAGGAGGUAUUUAUCCCAGCUUUUGCCAGACUUCACAAAAGACUCCUGCAUGCUUCUAUCCUCACGUGCCAUGGCCUGUGUGACUUGAUACCUUAAAACAGUCUCCACUACUGAUGUACCACUGGGCUUCCAACUCGAUGCUUCAGGAACAAAGCUGUCAGCUCAGGCCAAAACUGGUAAUUGGAAAACCGGAAAACCAGAAAGGAAAGGGAUGAACGGGAACCUGAGGCAGGAACUAGAGAAGAGGCAGUGAGGAGAGAGUUGCUGGAUGACGGUAAAGAAAGACAGCAAAAUAGGAACCAAGCAUGGAGGCCUCCAGCCAAGCCACCCCAUGCUUCUCUCAGCCUGUCAGUGUUUGGGUUUCUCUAAACUUAGAAAAUUCCCACAAAAAGAUUUUUUUAUCUUAUCACCAAGGCUUCUAAGUGCAACCCAAACUAAGAGACAUUACAUAGAAUAAAUGCUUAAACAGUAAACCCACAGAA